rnacentral:rRNA from 1 species
AGAAUCAACGCUGGCGGCGUGCCUAACACAUGCAAGUCGAACGAGAAAGUGGAGCAAUCCAUGAGUAAAGUGGCGCACGGGUGAGUAACACGUGACUAACCUACCCUUGAGUGGGGGAUAACCUAGGGAAACCUGGGCUAAUACCGCAUAAUACCUUCGGGUCAAAGGAGCAAUUCGCUUAAGGAGGGGGUCGCGGCCGAUUAGUUAGUUGGCGGGGUAAUGGCCCACCAAGACUAUGAUCGGUAUCCGGCCUGAGAGGGCGCACGGACACACUGGAACUGAAACACGGUCCAGACUCCUACGGGAGGCAGCAGUGGGAAUUUUGCGCAAUGGGGGAAACCCUGACGCAGCAACGCCGCGUGGAGGAUGAAGUCCCUUGGGACGUAAACUCCUUUCGAUCGGGACGAUUAUGACGGUACCGAGAGAAGAAGCCCCGGCUAACUUCGUGCCAGCAGCCGC